rnacentral:rRNA from 1 species
UACGGAGGAUGCGAGCGUUAUCCGGAAUCAUUGGGUUUAAAGGGUGCGUAGGCUGGUAUUUAAGUCAGUGGUGAAAUUUUCGUGCUUAACAUGAGAGCUGCCAUUGAUACUGGGUACCUAGAGUGUAUUUGAUGUGGGCGGAAUGUGUUGUGUAGCGGUGAAAUGCUUAGAUAUGACACAGAACACCGAUAGCGAAGGCAGCUCACAAAGUUACAACUGACGCUGAUGCACGAAAGCGUGGGGGAUCAAACAGG